rnacentral:misc_RNA from 1 species
GAUGAAGAACGUAGCGAAAUGCGAUACGUAAUGUGAAUUGCAAAUUCAGUGAAUCAUCGAAUCUUUGAACGCACAUUGCACCUCUCGGUAUUCCGGGAGGUAUGCCUGUUCGAGCGUCAUUUGUACCCUCAAGCUCUGCUUGGUGUUGGGUGUUUGUUCCGCCUCUGUGUGUGAACUCGCCUCAAAACAAUUGGCAGCCGGCGUACUUGUUUCGGAGCGCAGCACAUUUUGCGAUCCAGAUCAACGUACAGCGGCAUCCAAGAAGCCUUAUUUAACGCUCUUGACCUCGGAUCAGGUAGGGAUACCCGCUGAACUUAAGCAUAUCAAUAAGCGGAGGA